AGAUUGAACGCUGGCGGCAUGCCUUACACAUGCAAGUCGAACGGCAGCACGGGGCAACCCUGGUGGCGAGUGGCGAACGGGUGAGUAAUGCAUCGGAACGUGCCCAGUAGUGGGGGAUAACUAGUCGAAAGAUUAGCUAAUACCGCAUACGACCUAUGGGUGAAGCGGGGAUUCGCGAGAACCUCGCGCUAUCGGAGCGGCCGAUGUCUGAUUAGCUAGUUGGCGGGUAAAAGCCCACCAAGGCUUCGAUCAGUAGCUGGUCUGAGAGGACGACAGCCACACUGGGACUGAGACACCGGCCCAGACUCCGUACGGGAGGCAGCGAGGUGGGGUAAUUUUGGACUAAGUGGGCGACAAGCCU
rnacentral:rRNA from 1 species